rnacentral:rRNA from 1 species
UACAGGGGGGGCAAGCGUUGUUCGGAAUUACUGGGCGUAAAGGGCCAGUAGGCGGCCAACUAAGUCACACGUGAAAUCCCCAGGCUUAACCUGGGAACUGCGUGUGAUACUGGAUGGCUUGAAUUCGGGAGAGGGAUGCAGAAUUCCAGGUGUAGCGGUGAAAUGCGUAGAUAUCUGGAGGAAUACCGGUGGCGAAGGCGGCAUCCUGGACCGACAUUGACGCUGAACGGCGAAAGCCAGGGGAGCGAACGGG